UGUAUCUAAUUUUGUUAUAUAUUUCAAUCAAUUUAUGAUUUGAACUUAUGAUUUUGACAUAUAUAAUUUCCCAAAAAAUCUUUAUACAUGAACUACCAAAUCCGAGUACUCAAGAGUACUCCCGAGUACUCGCUACUUGGUAGUCAGCGGUACAGGCACUAAGUAAUGAGUUUUACAACUUUGCCAAGGCCCAACCCAAUUGUUCCAAAUGCGUAAACUCCUAAAUGGAACCCAAAGCCCAAUAUGGCCCAAUAUAAGAAGGUCCAUUAUCCAUUAAUAGACCAAAGUCCAGAAAUUAUCCAUAGGAGUUAAGGGGGCCAAGCCUUGCGUAUGUAUUUGAUCCGGAAAUGAGCUUGCACCCCAGUAUGCUCAGCGUACCCAGGAGUACACCCUGCGUACUGGCAUGAUCUCAACCCUUGGCCAAACGACUUGUUCACUUCAGAAUUUAUUAUCCAAUUCACAAAAUAACAUCAUAUCAAGGUCCUAACCCAUAAAGUCGAAGACUUUAAGACCCUGCACAACUAACCACCCCCCACGGUCCAAUUCUAGCAUCUUAACUCCAUUAAGAGAAACAUCUACCUUGCAUGGUUGCACAAAACCCAUCAAGUUAUCAUAUUUAUGAACAAAGGACCUCAAAAAAGCCUAGAUGUAUCAUCCCAAGUUGAUGGAGUAGCCCAUACUCCAAAAAAAAGCUUAAAGGACCCAAAACGCAAAAACAAGGCCCAAAAAAAGACUUGACUACCCUCUUUAUCCUCGGCAUAAAAAAAUUCCUACAAAAUUUGUUAAGUCCAAACUUUAUUUUGUGUGACAAACAUGACCUUAAUACAUUAUAGGAAUUGACUAUUAAUGAUGAUUGAUCAUAGAUGUAGUGACGUAUAUCGAGAACAAUUAAACUGGGAUCACAGUGUACGGGUUCAUGUUAGAUCGGAUGUCUGUAAACACGGUCUUUGCAAUUCAAUUGUCUCUUGCUUUGUGGUCAUUAGAUAAAACCAUUGGCUUUACAUGGCCAUCUUAAGUGGUUUCUUGUUAGAAGCUAAUCAGAUUCUUAUAGAAACAUGAAAGGUAUUUCUUGGCACACUAGAUCAGAGGUGAAUCUGGUGAAAACAACUUCAAAAGUGGGCUUCUGUCUUGUCUUUUCUAUACAUAUGUAUUGAACCUAUAAUAGUAAGUUUACGCAUAUUUCUAAUCAUGUUACUUGAAAUAUGCCAACACUUUUAGAAUUGAACAAGAAUCACAUAUGCCUUGUACUAAAAAUGAAAAAUAUUUUUUUAAAGACAAGAUUGUUUGUAUUCUUUUCUUUGUAUGUUGUAACGCCCGCAUAUCUGAGCUAGUCAAUUUAGAGGCAACAGGGGUCGAGUUAUAACGAGGAAGUUAUGACCCGUCGAAGUUUCACGACGG